AUUCCAUCCUCCGGGUGUUUGUCACAGUUCAGCAUCCAAGCUGAAUCUCUAGUUACCAUGGAUGGAGAUGACCUUUCCUGGCUAUGCUAGCCAGCUUUCUGACCUCAAAAAAAACACCAGCAUUUAAGGCCAAGAAUCUGAAUCUUUGAGUUUCCUUCCCCCACACCCAAUCCACCUGCUGAAGCCUAGUGACCAGCUGAACAGAACGGAGAGGUAGAAGAUUCAGGAGAUGGGUGUCACAGGUCCUGUCAGCUGGGUGGCCAGCUUAAGUUCUCCCUUCUUCGGAGCAGAAGGCUUCCUGGGGAAAAGUAUGUGCUUGAGGCGGUACUCCUUCAGGCACUGCACAUUGGCCUACAGUAAUUCAUUCAGUGGAUUUGUCGCCUCCUUGGGUCCACAGAGAUGCUGAAGGCAACCACAUACAGUGAUCUGGAACAAGAUGGGAGACGUUCUCAUGCUUUAUCUGGAUGCUAGUAUCAAGACAGCCAAGGAGCUGUGUGUGGCCCGUUCUACCAGGAGCAGUGAUAGUGUGUUAGCCCACAGUGUGAUCUCUGUAGAUAACAGCACGAUGCCUCCAGAUAAAAAGGCUAGACAUGCCCGUGGACUGAGGAAAAACGCCUGCACCUUAAACAGAACCCUGAAAUGAACAGGCUGCUGCAAUUGUGCCUUUGUCGGGGUGCUGCUCCAUCUGAAAGGUUUGCUCCUUGGCAACAAGGACCACUUCCAUCUGAAACAGCCUUGGUACCUUCCGUUUAUCUGAGACUUGCUCGGCACUUUCCAUCUAUCUGAGACUCACUGCCCUUCCUGGGGUUUGCAACCAUUUCAAAAUGUUUAAGAAACAUGGAUAGAACAUGAUUGACAUCCCACAGCAAAGUGGCUCCCAAUGAAGAUAACGGAUCUAAGCUCACGAACUCAAGCUGAACCCUCCCAGAAGGAGAGAUGGAAAGGUUUGACACAGACAUUCAUGCACAAGGAGCUACUGAUGCCUCCGAGAACAGGGACUUGUGAUCCUUUUUACGGACUGACACUCGAAAGCAGGAAGUGUGGGUGACUGUCAGAAAAGAUGGCUGCCAGCACAUAUUUGAUUCCCCCGAAGGUUAUCCCUAUGAGCUCAGAUUCAUUUGUCCCAUGAUUGCCAACUGGAUGUCCUCAUGUCCAUGGGGUCUGAGCAGGCCAUGAGAGACAGACACAUAUUCAAAACUGAGAACUGCCACCAUCUAUCCGUCCACCACCACGGGAAAAGCUUGCCGUGUAUCUCAACUGAGGGAGACUUAGUUAAGAUGGCCGAGAUUGCUUCUCCCAGGCUAGAGACACCUGGGAGAGGAUCCUGUGCCUUUGCAGAACAUUUUCCGGUGAAGAACGUGGGUACCGGCAAGACAACAGGGAAGUUUGCUCUCAUGCAUCAAACAUGAUAACGGAGCUAUGGACGGCAAAGGCGGGAGCACUGAAGACACAGUUUAGGAGCGAAAUGACGAGCUUGAUGUGGUGACCUAAGAGUGAUGCUCCGAAUCCAGAGUCUGUCUUCAAAACCCUGGCUCAGGCCUGAGCAGCCUAAGAAGUCACAGCACCUAAAGGCCACCAUUGCAGGAAGCUGCAACAGAAAGAGAGCAUUGGUUCCUGCUGUGACAGAUGCCCAAGCUUCCUGUGGAUAGCUGUGAAGUUAUUUACCCCAAAUCUAUUCAAAUGCAAACUGUUACCCCCUACCCCUCCACUCAUACCCUGUUAACCUUUUCUCUAUCCUAAACUAGCUCCUUCUGCCUCAACCGAGGUUUGUUCAAGGUUCUAAAUUCUUUGCCAUACAAAGCCCUAGCAUGGUAUUUUUUUCACACGGGCCUUCCACAAAUAUUUGCAGAAUGUUCACAAAACAUAACAUGAUUGUUCAGUCAACUGCACGUGUAGAUGCUGCAGUGUGAUGGAGAAGAAAGGUAGAUAGUCGUUCUGGUUCAGCUACACAGGGGCACAGCCUCAUAAGGGAAGCAAUGACCAGAAAAUCGCAAGGCAUCAAAACUCAAAGAGGGACUUUGACCCAGCUCUGCAUCUAACCUAUGAGCUCGGCUACCUACUCAAGCAGGUAUUUCAGACACCCAGAAAUCAAACCUCAGUGUGAUGUCACCUUUGGGGACUGGGACGCAUUUCUGGAUGUGACUAUUGGGGGAAAGAAUGUGUUUAAUUCAAAUACACCAUCGAGUCUGUCAUCCCUACCGUCUUACGUGACAAUUUUGAUAUGAAAGGGAGGGAGAAGGGAGGAAGGGGGAAGGUAGGACAACAUUUAGCUGAGGAAUCCUCACAGACACUAUUUCAGGGCUGGGGCCCACUGUCCAGUGGGCAGCCAGGCGGUGCCUCACAUCUUAGGUGGCCUUUAGGACAGGUUAAUCUGCCACCCAAACAGACUCUUCUCAGUUGAGGGAUCUGAAAAGCCAGGAGCUCUAUUCCAUCCUAAACAGGCUCUUCAGAGGACAGGAGAAGGCCACCUCAAUGUCGACCUGGGCUGGACCUUCAGUGACCAUGAGAAGAGGGUGCCGAGCUGAGCCUGGUACAAAGCUACCAGCCAAGAAGGACAGACUUCCUGAGGGCAGAAGAGAGGGACAGAGGGGCAGAGUUUCCAGUGUCUCAAAGCUUGGUCUGCUUUCACAUAAUAUUUUCCCCUCCAAUUAAACAUCCAUUUCUUUUCAAAGGAAACCUAAUUUAAACAAUGUGUUACUGUAAUUAAAUAAAGAACUCAGAGAUACAAACAGC
rnacentral:lncRNA from 1 species